rnacentral:lncRNA from 1 species
CGGGAAGCGUGGAGCCCAGCGCGGGUCCCUGGCCGCCCGCGGGCCGGAGAGGGCGCGCGUGAAGCGCCCCUGCACAGACAUGGGCGGCGUGAACACGGAACGUGCACACAUGGAGAGGGACGUGCACUCAGACAUGUGGAGGUGCGUUCCUUAGUGCAGAGAGACGGGCACGAGCGCCCUUAGUGCACACGACCCUGAGGUCCCUGCACACCGCGCACGGGUCACUCGGGGACGUGCGCUCGGAGGCUGGCGCACGUGUAGAGCCUGACUGCGGGCACAAGGGAAGCUGGAAUGCGAACAAGCAGCCGCAAACAGGACCCAGGCACUGUCACACAGACAUGCACACACCAAACGCCUUGUUAACGCAGGACGCGUGCCAAGAACGCAUUCUCAGAGACACACAGAGGGAACACACGAUGCAGACACAGGACAUGUCCUUUUCCUGCGUGGCAAGUGGACACCUGCAAAGCCUCUUAGGACAUGCCCAAAGUGACAGCUCACACGGAGAUCCAGGGAUUGCUCCCUUUGGGAGACACCAGCCACCAUUCCAUGAGGGCACUCUUGGAGAGGUUCAAAUGGAAAGAAUCUGAGGUUUCCACUAAAAGCCAAUACUAUCUUGCCAGCCAUGUGAGUGAGUCACCUUGCAAAUGGAUCCUCCAGCCCAUCAGGUCUACAAAUAACUGAAGCCUCAAGCUGACAACCUGACUGUAAUCUCAUAAAGUCAUAA